CCAAAUCACUAUCGCAGCUAUCGAUAAACAAAACACUGCUCCAAGAAUCUAUUACAGCUGUUUUUUUUUUGGUGUAUGAAUUUGAACAAGAAUUGGAAAAUGAGCUCAAAAAGUGGAAAAAGCAGGCGAAUGGCGUUUUGUAGGAAAGACAAAAUCGCACUUAUUAGGGCAGUGCAGUCACAUGAAUGCUUAUGGAAAACAAGCAAAAAUCGCAAGGAACAAAAUGCAAUACAACACGCAUGGAAAAGGAUUGGCGCGCAAAUGAAUAAAGAAGCAUACGAGUGCAAGAUUGCAUGGCGUUCUAUAAGAGACAGCUGGAGAUACCAUCGUUCAAAGCCC